rnacentral:rRNA from 1 species
UACAGAGGGGGCAAGCGUUGUUCGGAAUUACUGGGCGUAAAGGGCGCGUAGGCGGCCUGCUAAGUCGAACGUGAAAUCCCCGGGCUCAACCCGGGAACUGCGUCCGAUACUGGCUGGCUUGAAUCCGGGAGAGGGUAGUGGAAUUCCCGGUGUAGUGGUGAAAUGCGUAGAUAUCGGGAGGAACACCAGUGGCGAAGGCGACUACCUGGCCUGUUCUUGACGCUGAGGCGCGAAAGCUAGGGGAGCAAACGGG